rnacentral:rRNA from 1 species
GAGAAAGCAAGGUAGGGCGCACGGUGGAUGCCUAGGCAUACAGAGGCGAAGAAGGACGCGGUAAGCUGCGAAAAGCUGUGGGUAGGCGCAAACGGCCUUUGAUCCACAGGUGUCCGAAUGGGGAAACCCUUUAAGUCCGCAAGGACGGCGAACCCCGUGAACUGAAACAUCUAAGUAGCGGGAGGAAAAUAGAACAAUAGUUAUUCCCCAAGUAGCGGCGAGCGAACGGGGAACAGCCCAAACCAGGGGAGUCUCGGCUUCCCUGGGGUUGUAGGGCGGGCAUAAUGGAUCCAUGAACGAGACCGGAGGACCGUUGGAAAGCGGCGCCAAAGAGGGUGACAGCCCCGUACGGGAAUCGAGAGUGGCCAGGCCCUGUCCCUGAGUACCGCGGGACCGGAGAAAUCCUGCGGGAAUCCGCCAGCACCAUCUGGCAAGGCUAAAUACUACUGUAUGACCGAUAGUGUACCAGUACCGUGAGGGAAAGGUGAAAAGCACCCUGGACAAGGGAGUGAAAUAGACCCUGAAACCGUGCGCCUGCAAUCAAUCGGAGCCACUUCGGUGGUGACGGUGUGCCUUUUGCAUAAUGAGCCUACGAGUUGCUCCUCGGCGGCAAGGUUAAGUCCUUAAGGGACGCAACCGAAGCGAAAGCGAGUCUUCACAGGGCGUGAAGUCGCCGGGGGCAGACGCGAAACCUUGUGAUCUACCCAUGAGCAGGAUGAAGGUUCGGUAAAACGGACUGGAGGUCCGAACGAGUAAACGUUGAAAAGUUUUUCGAUGACUUGUGGGUAGGGGUGAAAGGCCAAUCAAACUGGGAGAUAGCUCGUACUCCCCGAAAUGUCUUUAGGGACAGCCUUGUGUAUGAGUGUCACGGAGGUAGAGCUACCGAUAGGGCUAGGGGGCCUCACCGCCUACCAAACUCUGACGAACUCCGAAUGCCGUGACAUGCUCCACAGGAGUGAGGGCGGGGGUGCUAAGGUCACCGCCCGAGAGGGAAAGAACCCAGACCACCGGCUAAGGCCCCAAAGUCUGCGCUAAGUUGAGCUAACGAGGUCCGACUGCAGAGACAGCUAGGAUGUUGGCUUGGAAGCAGCCAUUCAUUUAAAGAGUGCGUAACAGCUCACUAGUCGAGCGGUCGGGCAUGGAUAAUGAUCGGGCAUCAAGCGCAGCGCCGAAGCCGUGGAUUGUACAGCGAUGUACACUGGUAGGGGAGCAUUCUCGUCGCCGGGAAGCUGUGAUGCGAGUCAUGGUGGAGCGUCGAGAAAAGCAAAUGUAGGCAUGAGUAACGAUAAUCAGGGUGGGAAACCCUGACGCCGUAAGACCAAGGUUUCCUGAUCAACGCUAAUCGGAUCAGGGUUAGUCUGGACCUAAGGAUAAGCCGAAGGCGAUUCCGAUGGACAACGGGUUAAUAUUCCCGUACUGUUUGCAUUGCGAUGGAGGGACGCAGGAGUGACACUGCCGCCACGAGACGGAAUUCGUGGUUAAAGGGUGUAGGGAAACCGAAGCCCGACAGUACCGCAAGGCCCCGGCCGAGCGGAUAGUGCAGGUAAUCAAGCUGCCUAGAAAAGCUCCUAAGCUUCAGAUGCAAAUACCAGUACCGUAAACCGACACAGGUGGUCGAGGAGAGUAUCCUAAGGCGCUCGAGUGAUUCACAGCUAAGGAACUCGGCAAAUUCGUCCUGUAACUUCGGGAGAAGGGACGCCUACCCUCGCGAGAGGGAGGCCGCAGUGAAGAGGCCCAGGCGACUGUUUAGCAAAAACACAUGGCUUUGCGAAUUCGAAAGACGACGUAUAAGGCCUGACACCUGCCCGGUGCUGGAAGGUUAAGAGGGGGGGUCAUCCGCAAGGAGAAGCUCUGAAUCGAAGCCCCAGUAAACGGCGGCCGUAACUAUAACGGUCCUAAGGUAGCGAAAUUCCUUGUCGGGUAAGUUCCGACCUGCACGAAUGGUGUAACGAUCUGGGCACUGUCUCGGCUGUGAGCUCGGUGAAAUUGUACUGCCGGUGAAGAUGCCGGCUACCCGCAAUGGGACGAAAAGACCCCGUGAACCUUCACUACAGCUUUGCAUUGACAACGGGCCAGGGAUGUGUAGGAUAGGUGGGAGGCUGCGAACCGGUAUCGCCAGGUAUCGGGGAGCCAGCGGUGAAAUACCACCCUUCCCUUGCUUGUUGCCUAACCCCGCGAGGGAGACAGUGCAUGGCGGGUAGUUUGACUGGGGUGGUCGCCUCCAAAAGGGUAACGGAGGCUUCCAAAGGUCUGCUCAGCACGCUUGGUAACCGUGCGUAGAGUGCAAUAGCAUAAGCAGGCUUGACUGAGAGACUUACAAGUCGCACAGGUAGGAAACUAGGGUAUAGUGAUCCGGCGGUACCGCGUGGAAGGGCCGUCGCUCAAAGGAUAAAAGGUACUCCGGGGAUAACAGGCUGAUCUCCCCCAAGAGCUCAUAUCGACGGGGAGGUUUGGCACCUCGAUGUCGGCUCGUCACAUCCUGGGGCUGGAGAAGGUCCCAAGGGUUCGGCUGUUCGCCGAUUAAAGUGGCACGCGAGCUGGGUUCAGAACGUCGCGAGACAGUUCGGUCUCUAUCUAUUGCGGGCGUUAGACGUUUGAGAGGGGCUGGCCUUAGUACGAGAGGACCGGGUCGGACGAACCUCUGGUGCACCUGUUGUGACGCCAGUUGCAGCGCAGGGUAGCUAUGUUCGGAAGAGAUAAGCACUGAAAGCAUCUAAGUGCGAAACUCGCCUCAAGAUGAGACGUCUUUAUAAGGGUCCUGGGAGACGACCAGGUUGAUAGGGUGUAGGUGUAAGCGUGGAGACAUGCUCAGCCAAGCACUACUAAUUACCCGUAGCUUUCCCCC